rnacentral:rRNA from 1 species
CAGCCGCCGCGGUAAUACGGAGGGUGCGAGCGUUAAUCGGAAUAACUGGGCGUAAAGGGCACGCAGGCGGUGACUUAAGUGAGGUGUGAAAGCCCCGGGCUUAACCUGGGAAUUGCAUUUCAUACUGGGUCGCUAGAGUACUUUAGGGAGGGGUAGAAUUCCACGUGUAGCGGUGAAAUGCGUAGAGAUGUGGAGGAAUACCGAAGGCGAAGGCAGCCCCUUGGGAAUGUACUGACGCUCAUGUGCGAAAGCGUGGGGAGCAAACAGGAUUAGAUACCCGUGUAGUCCCUGUCUCUUAUAC